rnacentral:rRNA from 1 species
UACGUAGGGGCCGAGCGUUGUCCGGAGUUAUUGGGCGUAAAGCGCGCGCAGGCGGCUUCACGCGCCCGACGUGAAAGCCCCCCGGCUUAACCGGGGAGGGUCGUCGGGGACGGUGGAGCUUGAGGGCGGGAGAGGUCGGUGGAAUUCCCGGUGUAGCGGUGAAAUGCGUAGAUAUCUGGAGGAACACCGGUGGCGAAGGCGGCAUCCCUGGACCGGCAUUGACGCUGAGGCGCGAAAGCCAGGGGAGCAAACGGGG